UUAAAACUUUUCAGCUAGAGUAUGAUAGAGGAAAGCAGAAUUUCUAGUGUAGAGGUGAAAUUCGUAGAUAUUAGAAAGAAUACCAAUUGCGAAGGCAGCUUUCUGGAUCAUUACUGACACUGAGGAACGAAAGCAUGGGUAGCGAAGAGGAUUAGAUACCCUCGUAGUCCAUGCCGUAAACGAUGUGUGUUAGACGUUGGAAAUUUAUUUUCAGUGUCGCAGGGAAACCGAUAAACACACCGCCUGGGGAGUACGACCGCAAGGUUAAAACUCAAAUGAAUUGACGGGGACCCGCACAAGUAGUGGAGCAUGUGGUUUAAUUCGAAGAUACGCGCAGAACCUUACCAACACUUGACAUGUUCGUCGCGACUCUAAGAGAUUAGAGUUUUCGGUUCGGCCGGACGAAACACAGGUGCUGCAUGGCUGUCGUCAGCUCGUGUCGUGAGAUGUUGGGUUAAGUCCCGCAACGAGCGCAACCCUCACUUUUAGUUGCCAUCAUUAAGUUGGGCACUCUGAAAGAACUGCCAGUGAUAAGCUGGAGGAAGGUGGGGAUGACGUCAAGUCCUCAUGGCCCUUACGUGUUGGGCUACACACGUGCUACAAUGGUAUCUACAACAGGAAGCAAGACUGCGAAGUUAAGCAAAUCCCUAAAAGAUACCUCAGUUCGGAUUGCACUCUGCAACUCGAGUGCAUGAAGCUGGAAUUACUAGUAAUCGUGGAUCAGCGUGCCACGGUGAAUGCGUUCCCGGGUCUUGUACACACCGCCCGUCACACCAUGGGAGUUGGUUCUACCUUAAGGCAAGGUUUCAAACCCUUGACCACGGUAUAGUCAGCGACUGGGGUGAAGUCGUAACAAGGUAGCCGUAGGGGAACCUGCGGCUG
rnacentral:rRNA from 1 species